rnacentral:rRNA from 1 species
AUGGCUCAGAACGAACGCUGGUAGGCGUGUCUUAUACAUGCAAGUCGAGCGGUGCAGCAAUGCAUAGCGGCGAACGGGUGAGUAACGCGUAAGCAAUCUGCCCCCUGUUCGGGAAUAGCCGUGCCAACGCGCGGGUAAUACCGGAUAUCGUGGCUUCCCCCAUGGGAAGUUGACAAAAGAUUUAUCGACAGGGGAUGAGCUUGCGUCCGAUUAGCUAGUGGCGGGCAACGGCCACCAAGGCGACGAUCGGUAGCCGGCCUGAGAGGGUGAUCGGCCACAUUGGGACUGAGAUACGGCCCAGACUCCUACGGGAGGCAGCAGUAGGGAGCUUUCGGCAAUGGGCGCAAGCCUGACCGAGCAACGCCGCGUUGAGUGAAGAAGAAUUUCGGUUCGUAAAGCUCUGUUGUAAGGGAAGAAUAACACGGAGAGAAUCCGUGCAUGACGGUACCUUACCAGAAAGCCACGGCUAACUACGUGCCAGCCGCCGC